UACGUAGGUCUCAAGCGUUAUCCGGAUUUACUGGGCGUAAAGUGUCCGUAAUCUGAAUUAUAAGUCUGUCUUCAAAGACCACGACUCAAUCGUGGGAAGGGGGUGGAUACUGUAAUUCUGGAAGUAUCUGGGGGUUAGUGGAAUUUCCGGUGGAGCGGUGAAAUGCGUUGAUAUCGGAAGGAACGCCGAAAGCGAAAGCAGCUAACUACAGAAUACUUGACGAUGAGGGACGACAGUUCGGGUAGCAAAC
rnacentral:rRNA from 1 species